GGCCGGGCGACGGUUGUCCCGGUUUAAGCGUGUAGGCUGGUUUUCCAGGCAAAUCCGGAAAAUCAAGGCUGAGGCGUGAUGACGAGGCACUACGGUGCUGAAGCAACAAAUGCCCUGCUUCCAGGAAAAGCCUCUAAGCAUCAGGUAACAUCAAAUCGUACCCCAAACCGACACAGGUGGUCAGGUAGAGAAUACCAAGGCGCUUGAGAGAACUCGGGUGAAGGAACUAGGCAAAAUGGUGCCGUAACUUCGGGAGAAGGCACGCUGAUAUGUAGGUGAAGUCCCUCGCGGAUGGAGCUGAAAUCAGUCGAAGAUACCAGCUGGCUGCAACUGUUUAUUAAAAACACAGCACUGUGCAAACACGAAAGUGGACGUAUACGGUGUGACGCCUGCCCGGUGCCGGAAGGUUAAUUGAUGGGGUCAGCGCAAGCGAAGCUCUUGAUCGAAGCCCCGGUAAACGGCGGCCGUAACUAUAACGGUCCUAAGGUAGCGAAAUUCCUUGUCGGGUAAGUUCCGACCUGCACGAAUGGCGUAAUGAUGGCCAGGCUGUCUCCACCCGAGACUCAGUGAAAUUGAACUCGCUGUGAAGAUGCAGUGUACCCGCGGCAAGACGGAAAGACCCCGUGAACCUUUACUAUAGCUUGACACUGAACAUUGAGCCUUGAUGUGUAGGAUAGGUGGGAGGCUUUGAAGUGUGGACGCCAGUCUGCAUGGAGCCGACCUUGAAAUACCACCCUUUAAUGUUUGAUGUUCUAACGUUGACCCGUGAUCCGGGUUGCGGACAGUGUCUGGUGGGUAGUUUGACUGGGGCGGUCUCCUCCUAAAGAGUAACGGAGGAGCACGAAGGUUGGCUAAUCCUGGUCGGACAUCAGGAGGUUAGUGCAAUGGCAUAAGCCAGCUUGACUGCGAGCGUGACGGCGCGAGCAGGUGCGAAAGCAGGUCAUAGUGAUCCGGUGGUUCUGAAUGGAAGGGCCAUCGCUCAACGGAUAAAAGGUACUCCGGGGAUAACAGGCUGAUACCGCCCAAGAGUUCAUAUCGACGGCGGUGUUUGGCACCUCGAUGUCGGCUCAUCACAUCCUGGGGCUGAAGUAGGUCCCAAGGGUAUGGCUGUUCGCCAUUUAAAGUGGUACGCGAGCUGGGUUUAGAACGUCGUGAGACAGUUCGGUCCCUAUCUGCCGUGGGCGCUGGAGAACUGAGGGGGGCUGCUCCUAGUACGAGAGGACCGGAGUGGACGCAUCACUGGUGUUCGGGUUGUCAUGCCAAUGGCACUGCCCGGUAGCUAAAUGCGGAAGAGAUAAGUGCUGAAAGCAUCUAAGCACGAAACUUGCC
rnacentral:rRNA from 1 species